UGUUGCCGGAGGCCAAGUUUCCUGUGUCUGUCUCUGCAUUCGGGUUCGAUUCCCAACAGACCCUGUCACAAAAUGGUAAAAGACCAAGCUCAGAUCCUGGGGAGACAAGGCCUUCUCCAUCGCUGCUCCCACCCUCUGAAACUCUCUGCCUCAAACCAUCAGAGACUCCUCCUCACUCACCACAUUCAAAUCAUCACUUAAGACUCAUCUGCUCAACACUGCCUUCAACCACUGACCGUCUCUUCUGCUUAUCCACCCUUUUCUCUUUCGUUUGUUCGUUUAUAUAUUUAUUUUUGUAUCACUCACUCUGCCAAGUGUCUUUGAGUUUCUAGAAAAGCGCUAUACAAAUCUAAUGUAUUAUUAUUAUUAUUGUUCAUGUCACCAGGAUUUAAAAGAAAAUAAGGGAGUCGGGGCUGAGCUCAAGAUGAGCUCAUCGUGGAAAAGUCGUAACAUCUCAGACAUAUUGCAGUCUGUAAGAAGCCUGGCCAAAGGGGUGAGAUCAUCUUACACAUGAGCUGGAAGAAAUUAUGAAGAGAAACACAGUCCUUCCCCCAUUUUCCACCAAUGAGGACAGAGUAUGUGGGCUCUAAAGAUACGAGCACAGCCAGUGUAUCCUCAGUUGGACUCAG